rnacentral:misc_RNA from 1 species
GAAGUGCGAUAAGCAAUGCGAAUUGCAGAACCGUGAGUCAUCAGAUUUUUGAACGCAAUUGGCGCCGGCUGGCUCUCCAGCCGGCAUGCUUGUUUCAGUGUCUUGUUAUCUCCUCACCCAUAUCUUAAUGCGAGAGAUACCCUUCUCUUGUCAAGUAUGAAAGCACUCUGAGCUCUGCGAGCGGCUUCGCUUCGGCGGAUCCGCACUCGAUGCAGCAGUCACAUUUUACAAUGUGAACUCAUUGAGAGUAGAGUCAGCGCAGCUUGUCUGCAAGUGCUUAGAUCUCAAAACUCUUCUUGUAUCUGAAAUCAAGCAGGAUCACCCGCUGAGUUUAA